rnacentral:rRNA from 1 species
GAGGCCUAUAUGNCAGUCGAGCGAGCUUGCCUAGAUGAUUUUAGUGCUUGCACUAAAUGAAACUAGAUACAAGCGAGCGGCGGACGGGUGAGUAACACGUGGGUAACCUGCCCAAGAGACUGGGAUAACACCUGGAAACAGAUGCUAAUACCGGAUAACAACACUAGACGCAUGUCUAGAGUUUGAAAGAUGGUUCUGCUAUCACUCUUGGAUGGACCUGCGGUGCAUUAGCUAGUUGGUAAGGUAACGGCUUACCAAGGCAAUGAUGCAUAGCCGAGUUGAGAGACUGAUCGGCCACAUUGGGACUGAGACACGGCCCAAACUCCUACGGGAGGCAGCAGUAGGGAAUCUUCCACAAUGGACGAAAGUCUGAUGGAGCAACGCCGCGUGAGUGAAGAAGGGUUUCGGCUCGUAAAGCUCUGUUGGUAGUGAAGAAAGAUAGAGGUAGUAACUGGCCUUUAUUUGACGGUAAUUACUUAGAAAGUCACGGCUAACUACGUGCCAGCAGCCGCGGUAAUACGUAGGUGGCAAGCGUUGUCCGGAUUUAUUGGGCGUAAAGCGAGUGCAGGCGGUUCAAUAAGUCUGAUGUGAAAGCCUUCGGCUCAACCGGAGAAUUGCAUCAGAAACUGUUGAACUUGAGUGCAGAAGAGGAGAGUGGAACUCCAUGUGUAGCGGUGGAAUGCGUAGAUAUAUGGAAGAACACCAGUGGCGAAGGCGGCUCUCUGGUCUGCAACUGACGCUGAGGCUCGA